GAGGACCUGGGCUCUUGGGUCACUGUAUAAUGCAAAAAACUGCAUUAGAAAUUGAGGAGGGAAUCCAUAUGAGAGCAUUGCUUGAUUUAAAAACUGCCAUCUGAGGCAGUCAAAGGCUUUUUCUGCGUCCAAUGCGAAUAGUAGACUGCCUCAUCUGGUGUUCCUCAAAUGCUCAUAUAUGAAAAAGUCUGAUUGCGGUUCGCCAGUUAUACCGGAAACACCGAAC